ACAGGCAACUGUCAAUAAGCAAAGUGACAGUCACAUCUCCUGCAUGUUAAUCUUAAUGGACAGGAGAUGUUUGCAAGAGAAUAAAAAGCCCCUCCGCCCCUCCAAAGCUGUACAAUAAAAUCAUUUUUAAAAAAAUUAAAGGAAAAAGCCUUCUUUGUCGACCCUAUUUGGAAGGAUCAUUUAAAAAUACAGCUGUCUGCAACAAGGAUUCGAGAGGGAAUGAAGGGGGGGGGGAAGGAGAAGAGGGUUUACCCACCAACACCCUGGCAAACAAGGCUGCUCUGCAUCUGUUGUACCUGUUCCUGUUGCCUUCCUUGCCUCUUGGAAUCAUGUCAAGAGAGAAAAGUCGCCUCAAAGCUGCGGGUCUGCAGCCCUGUGCAGGAAGUUGGCACCGAUCCCAGGCAGCGCAAAAGGCACCCCCAGAUUGCAGUGACGUCAUUUUCUCCUCUCUUCCAAGUUUCACAAAGAUUGGCUGUGUGUAUGAAUGUCUAUGAAUGGUGCAUUUGUAUAGUAAUGUUGUUACAAAGAAAGUCUAAAGUUUAAAAACAUCCAGGAUAUCAUUGAACUGCUGAAGCUUCAAAGGCAUGACAAAUACUUAAAAUUGUGAGAGAUUUAAUCUUAAAGGACUCAGCAUGAUUUUACAGGUGAGUACAUAUAGCUGAAUCCUGACUCACAGAAUCAAGAGUUGAUUCAAUUUUAAAUUGCAAAUCUAUAGAGGUGGGCUUAUCUUGCAAGUCUGCCAAGAUGGCUUUUACUUUCUACAAUGCACUCCUUUAUUUUGCAACAAAAUUUUGUAUCUUUUUCUAACAAUGAGGAGCAAUGGUAGCAGCUAAACAGUUUUUAGAAAUAAUAUCUUAUUUUUUUAAAAGAACAAACAAGCCACAAUAUAAUGAAAGUAUGCCAGGACCCACUGAUAUGAAAACACCUACAUUGAAAACUUAACUUUUAAAUUCUGAUUCAAAACUUGGAAAUGAAAUCUUGUAAUAUGAGCAAAUUUCAAACUUUUUAUCUCACCUUUUGCUUGAGCCAAGCUUCAAAACUAUAAACCUUUCUAGGUAUGCUCUGACAUAGAUACUCAAGUGUUUGAAUAAUUUAAUGACUGUGCUGGUCAAUUUUGAGUGGGGGAGAAGAUGAGCAACUAAACUCUUUUCUUCCAUCAUACAUCAUUUUCCAACUUCAUCUUUGAGAAUUAAAGCCAUAGUUGCUUUAAACUUUUAUUUGAACCAUGUUUUUUGUUAAGAACCCUGCUUGAAAAAUAACAAAAAUGCAUUGAAAAAUUGGAAGAUUAACACUUCUCAGUUACAAUUUUUUGGAAAACAGCAGGUCUCUUCAUAAUGCUGGGGGUGGGGAAAUGAAAUGGAAAAUCUGUUCAAGAUGAUACCAUUAUCUCCAAAAGGAACUAGAUAUAAAACACACAGGAAACAAACAAAAAGGGAGAUGGGCAUAAUAUGCCUUCCUUCAAGAUAGAUGAAAAAUAUAAGAGAACGACACAAUUAUACACCAUGAAUAUUAAAUAAAUGAACCAAUUGCCAGUUUGUCCCUGAGAAAGGCUGAAGAAUUACAAAACGGGAGGUACUUAGUGACUUUGCUCAAGGAAAUAGUUCUCAAAAUUCAAAACAGCUGUAUUAUGCUAAAAAUAGGUAAUGAUCAGAAGAAGGAAGUGAGGUCUCAGCUGUAUGUGUCCUGUUUUAGUAGAUCUGAGGUAUCGUUCUACUACUGGUGGCUCCUCGACCCAGCCAAGUCUGUGCUGGGCUUACCACAAGCACAGCUGGGUUUUUAGAAAGAACCACUCCAUCCAAGUUGUUUGCCAAGUUUUUGGUAGAGUGCAGUGGAGUUUUAAGAUUCAAGUUACCGGAAAGGAUUCUUCCUGCUACACAAUUCUGAGAUAUUCAGAAAUUCUUCUUAGAGUGCCCUCAAGAAAUGAGAGAUGGAUGACCAGAGGAAAUAAUCUCUAAGCGGUGGCAUUCCAGUUAUGAUAUAACCUUCCCAGAACAGGUCUUUUGAUGCCAUCUUUGUUGGAUUCACAUAUAAUACUAAGCCAUCAUGUGAUUGCUAUUUAGCUCACCAUAUUAUGGAAUCCUAGCUAACAAUCAACCCAUAGUACAGUAGCUUAGUAACUGUGUAAAUUCAAUAUUUACCCCCUACAGAGCCAGAGUAAUU